rnacentral:rRNA from 1 species
CCUACGGGGGGCAGCAGUGGGGGAUAUUGCACAAUGGGGGAAACCCUGAUGCAGCGACGCCGCGUGGGCGAAGAAGUAUUUCGGUAUGUAAAGCCCUAUCAGCAGGGAAGAAGAAAUGACGGUACCUGAGUAAGAAGCACCGGCUAAAUACGUGCCAGCAGCCGCGGUAAUACGGAUGGUGCAAGCGUUAUCCGGAUUUACUGGGUGUAAAGGGAGCGUAGACGGCAGUGCAAGUCUGGAGUGAAAGGCGGGGGCUCAACCCCCGGACUGCUCUGGAAACUGUACGGCUGGAGUGCAGGAGAGGUAAGUGGAAUGCCUAGUGUAGCGGUGAAAUGCGUAGAUAUUAGGAGGAACACCAGUGGCGAAGGCGGCUUACUGGACUGUAACUGACGUUGAGGCUCGAAAGCGUGGGGAGCAAACAGGAUUAGAUACCCUUGUGGUC